rnacentral:rRNA from 1 species
GAUGAACGCUGGCGGCGUGCCUAAUACAUGCAAGUCGAGCGAACGGACGAGAAGCUUGCUUCUCUGAUGUUAGCGGCGGACGGGUGAGUAGCACGUGGAUAACCUACCUAUAAGACUGGGAUAACUUCGGGAAACCGGAGCUAAUACCGGAUGAUACUUUGAACCGCAUGGUUCAAAAGUGAAAGACGGUCUUGCUGUCACUUAUAGAUGGAUCCGCGCUGCAUUAGCUAGUUGGUAAGGUAACGGCUUACCAAGGCAACGAUGCAUAGCCGACCUGAGAGGGUGAUCGGCCACACUGGAACUGAGACACGGUCCAGACUCCUACGGGAGGCAGCAGUAGGGAAUCUUCCGCAAUGGGCGAAAGCCUGACGGAGCAACGCCGCGUGAGUGAUGAAGGUCUUCGGAUCGUAAAACUCUGUUAUUAGGGAAGAACAUAUGUGUAAGUAACUGUGCACAUCUUGACGGUACCUAAUCAGAAAGCCACGGCUAACUACGUG